AGUGAACGCUGGCGGUAGGCCUAACACAUGCAAGUCGAACGGCAGCACAGUAAGAGCUUGCUCUUACGGGUGGCGAGUGGCGGACGGGUGAGGAAUACAUCGGAAUCUACUUUUUCGUGGGGGAUAACGUAGGGAAACUUACGCUAAUACCGCAUACGACCUACGGGUGAAAGCAGGGGAUCUUCGGACCUUGCGCGAUUGAAUGAGCCGAUGUCGGAUUAGCUAGUUGGCGGGGUAAAGGCCCACCAAGGCGACGAUCCGUAUCUGGUCUGAGAGGAUGAUCAGCCACACUGGAACUGAGACACGGUCCAGACUCCUACGGGAGGCAGCAGUGGGGAAUAUUGGACAAUGGGUGCAAGCCUGAUCCAGCCAUACCGCGUGGGUGAAGAAGGCCUUCGGGUUGUAAAGCCCUUUUGUUGGGAAAGAAAAGCAGCAGGUUAAUACCCCGCUGUUCUGACGGUACCCAAAGAAUAAGCACCGGCUAACUUCGUG
rnacentral:rRNA from 1 species